rnacentral:rRNA from 1 species
GACGAACGCUGGCGGCAUGCCUAAUACAUGCAAGUCGAGCGAACAGACGAGGAGCUUGCUCCUCUGACGUUAGCGGCGGACGGGUGAGUAACACGUGGAUAACCUACCUAUAAGACCGGGAUAACUUCGGGAAACCGGAGCUAAUACCGGAUAAUAUAUUGAACCGCAUGGUUCAAUAGGUAAAGACGGUUUUGCUGUCAGUUAUAGAUGGAUCCGCGCCGCAUUAGCUAGUUGGUAAGGUAACGGCUUACCAAGGCAACGAUGGGUAGCCGACCUGAGAGGGUGAUCGGCCACACUGGAACUGAGGCACGGUCCAGACUCCUACGGGAGGCAGCAGUAGGGAAUCUUCCGCAAUGGGCGAAAGCCUGACGGAGCAACGCCGCGUGAGUGAUGAAGGUCUUCGGAUCGUAAAACUCUGUUAUUAGGGAAGAACAAAUGUGUAAGUAACUAUGCACGUCUUGACGGUACCUAGUCAGAAAGCCACGGCUAACUACGUGCCAGCCGCCGCCGUAA